CCGCAUGGAGACAAGGGCGUACGGUGGAUGCCUUGGCUUGAAAGAGCGAUGAAGGACGCUGCGUAGCGGCGAUACGCUUCGGGGAGGUGCCGAGCAACCUUUGAUCCGAAGAUGUCCGAAUGGGGAAACCCGUCUCGAUGAAUGAUCGAGACACUCCGACGCAAGUCGGAGAGCGCACCCGGGGAAGUAAAACAUUUCAGUACCCGGAGGAAAAGAAACCAAUUGGUAUUUCCUUAGUAGCGGCGAGCGAAAAGGAAUCAGCCUAGAUU
rnacentral:ncRNA from 1 species